AUUAAUAAGAAAUUUUUUCGAAAUUUUUGGAUAUUUUUCGGGAAUUUUUCGGAGCUCGUACGGACGAAUUAAUGGGGAUAAAAAAAAUGGGAUCCGGAAAAAUCUGUUUUGACUACCCUAUUCUAAAAAGGAAAUGUUUGAUUUUCUUCCUUUUUCUUUUAUUCUUUUUCUUAUUUCCUCCGUAGUUUUCUUUCUUCCUCCCCGCGUGUGCCGAACCCGAGCCCUAACUGCUCGGAACAGUUUCUCCUCCUCUUCAUUUCUUCUGCCCGAGCCGCUAACCCUUCUCCCCUCACCUCGCGACAGCGUCGGUUCUUCCGUCUCCUUCCCAGCGCCAAGCGCCGCCGAGUUUCCUCCUGCCGAGGCUGCGCCCUAGCUUCUCUGUCGUCCGCCGUCGUCGAACGGAGAGCACCGGCCACCCUUCCUCUGCCCUAGACAAACCCCAGCGCUGGCCGCCGUCAACUGUGCCCUAACGCCGGCCUCAUCUUCACUUUCUUCCCGAGCCGCCCCAUGCCCUAGCCUCUCCACCUCCGCACACCGCUGAGAGCCGACCCUUUCUUCUGCCUUGGGUUCUACCGAGCCUUCCUUUCUUCCUCUACCCUCUGCCCCAACGUCCACUGAUGAUGCCAAGGUCCAGCAACCUUCUGCCGUGCUUUAGACUCCACUGGCGGGUCUUCCUUCUUCGCCACCAGUCGUCGGCAGAGAGGAAACAGGGGGUGACGAGUAGCAGCCAACAGCCCUUAGCGGCGCAAUUUCCGCUAUCAACUCUUUGAUUCCAGUUCAAAACAGGGGCUGUGAAGUUAGGACUUGCUGUGGGGUUUUCUUGGUUCAGCAAUUUAAUCCAGUAGUUGUUUACAUUAGAUCCAACAGCAACUACAGUUGUGAAUUGAGGACUUUGACGCGAGACGAGUAUCUCGGAGUCAGAUUUGGAUCAUUUUAUCGGAGGCGAG